rnacentral:ncRNA from 1 species
GCGUUUUUCGCAGCGGAGCUCGACCGUCCCACGACGAGAUGAUCGCAUAUAUCGAUAUGUUCAGGGAUCGUUUCGGGGUCGAGCCCAUCUGUCGUGUUUUG